rnacentral:rRNA from 1 species
CCAAUAGCGUAUAUUAAAGUUGUUGCAGUUAAAAAGCUCGUAGUUGAAUUUCGGGAUUAAUUUAUCGGUCGUGCUUUUGUACGUACUGGUAUUAUUGAUUCCUACCUUCUGACGAACCAUGAUGUCAUUAAUUUGGUGUCUUGGGGAAUCAGGACUGUUACUUUGAAAAAAUUAGAGUGUUUAAAGCAGGCUCACGCUUGAAUACAUUAGCAUGGAAUAACGAAAUAGGACGUUUGAUUCUAUUUUGUUGGUUUCUAGGAUCGACGUAAUGAUUAAUAGGGAUAGUUGGGGGCAUUAGUAUUCAAUUGUCAGAGGUGAAAUUCUUGGAUUUAUUGAAGACUAACUACUGCGAAAGCAUUUGCCAAGGAUGUUUUCAUUAAUCAAGAACGAAAGUUAGGGGAUCGAAGACGAUCAGAUACCGUCGUAGUCUUAACCAUAAACUAUGCCGACUAGGGAUCGGAUGAUGUUAAUUUUUUAAUGACUCAUUCGGCGCCUUACG